AUUGAACGCUGGCGGCAGGCUUAACACAUGCAAGUCGAGCGGGGUGAUGGUGCUUGCACUAUCACUUAGCGGCGGACGGGUGAGUAAUGCUUAGGAAUCUGCCUAUUAGUGGGGGACAACAUUUCGAAAGGAAUGCUAAUACCGCAUACGUCCUACGGGAGAAAGCAGGGGAUCUUCGGACCUUGCGCUAAUAGAUGAGCCUAAGUCGGAUUAGCGAGUUGGUGGGGUAAAGGCCUACCAAGGCGACGAUCUGUAGCGGGUCUGAGAGGAUGAUCCGCCACACUGGGACUGAGACACGGCCCAGACUCCUACGGGAGGCAGCAGUGGGGAAUAUUGGACAAUGGGCGGAAGCCUGAUCCAGCCAUGCCGCGUGUGUGAAGAAGGCCUUAUGGUUGUAAAGCACUUUAAGCGAGGAGGAGGCUACUUUAGUUAAUACCUAGAGAUAGUGGACAUUACUCACAGAAUAAGCACCGGCUAACUCUGUGCCAGCCGCCGCAGUAAUAC
rnacentral:rRNA from 1 species